UCAGAGAAUAGUUUAAUUAAAAUAUUAGUUUUGGGGACUGAUGAUAGAUAAAUUUAUCUUUCUCUGAA
rnacentral:tRNA from 1 species